rnacentral:rRNA from 1 species
UGGUAAUGCCGGAUGUUCCACAUGAUCGCAUGUGAUUGUGGGAAAGAUUCUAUCGGCGUGGGAUGGGGUCGCGUCCUAUCAGCUUGUUGGUGAGGUAACGGCUCACCAAGGCUUCGACGGGUAGCCGGCCUGAGAGGGCGACCGGCCACAUUGGGACUGAGAUACGGCCCAGACUCCUACGGGAGGCAGCAGUGGGGAAUAUUGCACAAUGGGCGCAAGCCUGAUGCAGCGACGCCGCGUGAGGGAUGGAGGCCUUCGGGUUGUAAACCUCUUUUGUUUGGGAGCAAGCCUUCGGGUGAGUGUACCUUUCGAAUAAGCGCCGGCUAACUACGUGCCAGCAGCCGCGGUAAUACGUAGGGCGCAAGCGUUAUCCGGAUUUAUUGGGCGUAAAGGGCUCGUAGGCGGCUCGUCGCGUCCGGUGUGAAAGUCCAUCGCUUAACGGUGGAUCUGCGCCGGGUACGGGCGGGCUGGAGUGCGGUAGGGGAGACUGGAAUUCCCGGUGUAACGGUGGAAUGUGUAGAUAUCGGAAAAAAACACCACA